rnacentral:rRNA from 1 species
GACGAACGCUGGCGGCGUGCUUAACACAUGCAAGUCGAACGGAAAGGCCCUGCUUUUGUGGGUUUCUCGAGUGGCGAACGGGUGAGUAACACGUGAGUAACCUGCCCUUGACUUUGUGAUAACUUCAGGAAACUGGGGCUCAUACCCGAUAUGAGCUCCUGCUGCAUGUUGGGGGUUGGAAAGUUUCGGCGGUUGGGGAUGGACUCGCGGCUUAUCCGCUUGUUGGUGGGGUAGUGGCUUACCAAGGCUUUGACGGGUAGCCGGCCUGAGAGGGUUACCGGCCACAUUGGGACUGAGAGACGGCCCAGACGCCUACGGGAGGCAGCAGGGGGGAAUAUGGCACAAUGGGCGGAAGCCUGAGGCAGAAACGCCGCGUGCGGGAUGACGGCCUUCGGGUUGUAAACCGCUGUCGCCGGUGACGAAGAGUGAGUGACGGUAAUGGGUAAAGAAGCACCGGCUAACUACGUG